UACGGGGGGGGCAAGCGUUGUUCGGAAUUACUGGGCGUAAAGGGCUCGUAGGCGGCCAACUAAGUCAGACGUGAAAUCCCUCGGCUUAACCGGGGAACUGCGUCUGAUACUGGAUGGCUCGAGGUUGGGAGAGGGAUGCGGAAUUCCAGGUGUAGCGGUGAAAUGCGUAGAUAUCUGGAGGAACACCGGUGGCGAAGGCGGCAUCCUGGGCCAAUUCUGACGCUGAGUGAGCGAAAGCCAGGGGAGCAAACGGG
rnacentral:rRNA from 1 species